ensembl:rRNA 5S_rRNA 5S ribosomal RNA
GUCGAUGGCCAUACCACCCUGAACGCAUCCAAUCUUGUCUGAUCUCGGAAGCUAAGCAGGGUCGGGCCUGGUUAGUACUUGGAUAGGGAGUUGUGAUUUAAAAAACUGACUGCCACUGCCA